rnacentral:tRNA from 1 species
CGGGUAGACGCUACGGASUUAAAAAAUCCGUCGACUUUAGAAAUCGUGAGGGUUCAAGUCCCUCUAUCCCCA